rnacentral:rRNA from 1 species
UUUACGGAGAGUUUGAUCCUGGCUCAGGACGAACGCUGGCGGCGUGCUUAACACAUGCAAGUCGAACGAUGAUGCCCAGCUUGCUGGGUGGAUUAGUGGCGAACGGGUGAGUAACACGUGAGUAACCUGCCCCUGACUCUGGGAUAAGCGUUGGAAACGACGUCUAAUACUGGAUAUGAUCACUGGCCGCAUGGUCUGGUGGUGGAAAGAUUUUUUGGUUGGGGAUGGACUCGCGGCCUAUCAGCUUGUUGGUGAGGUAAUGGCUCACCAAGGCGACGACGGGUAGCCGGCCUGAGAGGGUGACCGGCCACACUGGGACUGAGACACGGCCCAGACUCCUACGGGAGGCAGCAGUGGGGAAUAUUGCACAAUGGGCGAAAGCCUGAUGCAGCAACGCCGCGUGAGGGAUGACGGCCUUCGGGUUGUAAACCUCUUUUAGUAGGGAAGAAGCGAAAGUGACGGUACCUGCAGAAAAAGCACCGGCUAACUACGUGCCAGCAGCCGCGGUAAUACGUAGGGUGCAAGCGUUGUCCGGAAUUAUUGGGCGUAAAGAGCUCGUAGGCGGUUUGUCGCGUCUGCUGUGAAAUCCCGAGGCUCAACCUCGGGCUUGCAGUGGGUACGGGCAGACUAGAGUGCGGUAGGGGAGAUUGGAAUUCCUGGUGUAGCGGUGGAAUGCGCAGAUAUCAGGAGGAACACCGAUGGCGAAGGCAGAUCUCUGGGCCGUAACUGACGCUGAGGAGCGAAAGCAUGGGGAGCGAACAGGAUUAGAUACCCUGGUAGUCCAUGCCGUAAACGUUGGGCGCUAGAUGUAGGGACCUUUCCACGGUUUCUGUGUCGUAGCUAACGCAUUAAGCGCCCCGCCUGGGGAGUACGGCCGCAAGGCUAAAACUCAAAGGAAUUGACGGGGGCCCGCACAAGCGGCGGAGCAUGCGGAUUAAUUCGAUGCAACGCGAAGAACCUUACCAAGGCUUGACAUACACCGGAAACGGCCAGAGAUGGUCGCCCCCUUGUGGUCGGUGUACAGGUGGUGCAUGGUUGUCGUCAGCUCGUGUCGUGAGAUGUUGGGUUAAGUCCCGCAACGAGCGCAACCCUCGUUCUAUGUUGCCAGCGGGUUAUGCCGGGGACUCAUAGGAGACUGCCGGGGUCAACUCGGAGGAAGGUGGGAUGACGUCAAAUCAUCAUGCCCCUUAUGUCUUGGGCUUCACGCAUGCUACAAUGGCCGGUACAAAGGGCUGCGAUACCGUAAGGUGGAGCGAAUCCCAAAAAGCCGGUCUCAGUUCGGAUUGAGGUCUGCAACUCGACCUCAUGAAGUCGGAGUCGCUAGUAAUCGCAGAUCAGCAACGCUGCGGUGAAUACGUUCCCGGGCCUUGUACACACCGCCCGUCAAGUCAUGAAAGUCGGUAACACCCGAAGCCGGUGGCCUAACCCUUGUGGAAGGAGCCGUCGAAGGUGGGAUCGGUGAUUAGGACUAAGUCGUAACAAGGUAGCCGUACCGGAAGGUGCGGCUGGAUCACCUCCUUU